UCACAAAACAGUCAAGAGUAAUCACACUCACUUCAUUAAAAUCCCAAUUUACCAGUACAACACUGACUUCAGCAAGGAUUGCCUCAGUCUUCCCAAAAUCCUAUGAAAAAAAACUCCAAUUCUCUGUCUUUUUUCUCCCUCCCAAAGCAUGAAGCUAGCUCUCCGACCCUUAAAAAACUUAUUCUCCUCCCUUUAUUUCUUAACCUAUCCUCCUCUUUAAUCCUAAUUCUCCCCUCUUUCAAACCCUAGCCUCUAAAUUUCUUCAAUCUUCUACUAAAAAAGAAGUAUCUUACAGUUCCUAGCAAGAUGAGGAUCUGGAAUUGGCUCCGCUGUCAGAGCUUUCUCUUCCGUUUUUACCUUUAAGAGAUCCUUUUACCAAAAGGACGUUUUGGGAAUGGCACAAAGGACGGAACAAUCUAAAACGGAAUCGAAACCCCCAUAAUCGGGACCACAUUGAGUGGCCCGACCAAUUCAGGUCUCAUAUUGGGUAAGAGGCCCAUAAUAGGACC
rnacentral:lncRNA from 1 species